rnacentral:rRNA from 1 species
AUUGAACGCUGGCGGCAGGCCUAACACAUGCAAGUCGAGCGGAUGAAGGGAGCUUGCUCCUGGAUUCAGCGGCGGACGGGUGAGUAAUGCCUAGGAAUCUGCCUGGUAGUGGGGGAUAACGUCCGGAAACGGGCGCUAAUACCGCAUACGUCCUGAGGGAGAAAGUGGGGGAUCUUCGGACCUCACGCUAUCAGAUGAGCCUAGGUCGGAUUAGCUAGUUGGUGGGGUAAAGGCCUACCAAGGCGACGAUCCGUAACUGGUCUGAGAGGAUGAUCAGUCACACUGGAACUGAGACACGGUCCAGACUCCUACGGGAGGCAGCAGUGGGGAAUAUUGGACAAUGGGCGAAAGCCUGAUCCAGCCAUGCCGCGUGUGUGAAGAGGGUCUUCGGAUUGUAAGGCACUUUAAGUUGGGAGGAAGGGCAGUAAGUUAAUACCUUGCUGUUUUGACGUUACCAACAGAAUAAGCACCGGCUAACUUCGUG